GGCUCCCGGCCGCCGGGCCGCGGGAUUAGGGUUUGAUCAUGGCUCAGAAUGAACGUUGGCGGCGUGGAUUAGGCAUGCAAGUCGAGCGAGAAACUCACUUUUGAUCUUUCGAGUGAAAAAGUGGGCGGACAGCGGCGAAAGGGAGAGUAACGAGUAGAUUACGUACCCAGGGGUGCAGGAUAGCGGGGGGAAACCGCCGGUAAUACUGCAUAACGUCUCCGGACCAAAGAUUUAUCGCCCUUGGAGCGGUCUGCUUACUAUUAGUUUGUUGGUGGGGUAAAAGCCUACCAAGGCUAAGAUGGUUAGCGGGUGUGAGAGCAUGGCCCGUCUCACUGGGACUGAGACACUGCCCAGACGUCUACGGACGGCUGCAGUCGAGAAUCUUCCGCAAUGGACGAAAGUCUGACGGAGCGACGCCGCGUGCGGGAUGAAGGCCUUCGGGUUGUAAACCGCUGUCAGAGGGGAGGAAAUUUUGACCGAUCCUCAGAGGAAGCACAGGCUAAGUUCGUGC
rnacentral:rRNA from 1 species